CACACACACACACACACAGACACACACACUCACAUCCACACACACACACACACACAGACACAUACACAUUCAGACACACACAUACUCACACAAAUUAUGAAUACCAGACAAGAGCGUUUUGGGGGCGUGGCCUUAAAGCAAAAGACGCUCCCUUAUAAAUGGAACAUCUUUUGUCUUGUUCCUUGCUCUAUUGUGUUUCCUUG